rnacentral:tRNA from 1 species
GGAUCAAUAGCUCAGUGGUAGAGCAUGCGAUUGCAGAUCCGAGCUUCAAUCGCAGGGUCCCGUGUUCGAACCACGGUUGGUCCU